GGAUUCCCCUAGUAACUGCGAGUGAAGCGGGAAGAGCUCAAAUUUAAAAUCUGGCGUGCCUCCCGCCGUCCGAGUUGUAGUCUGGAGAAGCGUUUUCCGUGUUGGACCGUGUAUAAGUCUCUUGGAACAGGGCGUCAUAGAGGGUGAGAAUCCCGUCUUUGACACGGACUACCAAUGCUUUGUGAUGCGCUCUCAAAGAGUCGAGUUGUUUGGGAAUGCAGCUCAAAAUGGGUGGUAAAUUCCAUCUAAAGCUAAAUAUAGGCGAGAGACCGAUAGCGAACAAGUACCGUGAGGGAAAGAUGAAAAGCACUUUGGAAAGAGAGUUAAACAGUACGUGAAAUUGCUGAAAGGGAAACGCUUGAAGUCAGUCACGUCUGCCAGGACUCAGCCUUGCUUCUGCUGGGUGCACUUUCUGGUUUGACGGGCCAACAUCAAUUUUGACCGUUGGAGAAAGGCUUUGGGAACGUGGCACCUUCGGGUGUGUUAUAGCCCUAGGUUGUAUGCAACGGUUGGGAUUGAGGACCGCAGCACGCCUUCAUGGCCGGGGUUCGCCCACGUACGUGCUUAGGAUGUUGGCAUAAUGGCUUUAAGCGACCCGUCUUGAAACACGGACCAAGGAGUCUAACAUGCCUGCGAGUGUUUGGGUGGAAAACCCAUGCGCGUAAUGAAAGUGAUAGCUGAGAUCCUCUCAUCAGGAGCAUCAGCGCCUGGACUUGAUCUACGGAGACGGUUCUACGGUAGAGCAUGUAUGUUGGGACCCGAAAGAUGGUGAACUAUGCCUGAAUAGGGUGAAGCCAGAGGAAACUCUGGUGGAGGCUCGUAGCGAUUCUGACGU
rnacentral:rRNA from 1 species